rnacentral:rRNA from 1 species
CAGAACGAACGCUGGCGGCGCGUCUUAAGCAUGCAAGUCGAGCGGCAAGGGGUAGCAAUACUCCCUAGAGCGGCGGACUGGUGAGUAACGCGUGGGUGACCUACCCUGAGGUUGGGGAUAGCCAUUAGAAAUAGUGGGUAAUACCGAAUAUGGCCGGCAGACCGCGGUUUGCCGAAGAAAGGAGCAUUGGCUCCGCCUUAGGAUGGGCCCGCGUCCCAUUAGCUGGAUGGUGCGGUAACGGCGCACCAUGGCGAUGAUGGGUAGCCGGCCUGAGAGGGUGAACGGCCACACUGGGACUGAGAUACGGCCCAGACUCCUACGGGAGGCAGCAGCUAAGAAUAUUCCGCAAUGGACGAAAGUCUGACGGAGCGACGCCGCGUGGAUGAGGAAGGCCGAAAGGUUGUAAAGUCCUUUUGUUGCUGAAGAAUAAGCGGGGGAGGGAAUGCCCCCGUGAUGACGUAGGCGC